AGAGUUUGAUCCUGGCUCAGGACGAACGCUGGCGGCGUGCCUAACACAUGCAAGUCGAGCGGGGAACGGAUGGUAGCUUGCUACUGUUUGUUUCUAGCGGCGGACGGGUGAGUAACGCGUGAGCAACCUGCCUUUAUCAGGGGGAUAACGCAUCGAAAGAUGUGCUAAUACCGCGUAAGACCACAGCUUCACAUGGAGCGGGGGUCAAAGGAGCAAUCCGGAUAAAGAUGGGCUCGCGUCCGAUUAGCUAGUUGGUGAGAUAACAGCCCACCAAGGCGACGAUCGGUAGCCGACCUGAGAGGGUGAUCGGCCACAUUGGAACUGAGAGACGGUCCAGACUCCUACGGGAGGCAGCAGUGGGGAAUAUUGGGCAAUGGGCGAAAGCCUGACCCAGCAACGCCGCGUGAGGGAAGAAGGGUUUCGGCUCGUAAACCUCUGUCCUAUGGGACGAAGGAAGUGACGGUACCAUAGGAGGAAGCCCCGGCUAACUACGUGCCAGCAGCCGCGGUAAUACGUAGGGGGCGAGCGUUGUCCGGAAUUACUGGGCGUAAAGGGAGCGUAGGCGGUCGAUUAAGUUAGAUGUGAAACCCCCGGGCUUAACUUGGGGACUGCAUCUAAUACUGGUUGACUUAGAGUACAGGAGAGGGAAGCGGAAUUCCUAGUGUAGCGGUGAAAUGCGUAGAUAUUAGGAGGAACACCAGUGGCGAAGGCGGCCUGCUGGACGACAACUGACGCUGAGGCGCGAAAGCGUGGGGAGCAAACAGGAUUAGAUACCCUGGUAGUCCACGCGGUAAACGAUGAAUGCUAGGUGUAGGAGGUAUCGACCCCUUCUGUGCCGCAGUAAACACAAUAAGCAUUCCGCCUGGGGAGUACGGCCGCAAGGUUGAAACUCAAAGGAAUUGACGGGGGCCCGCACAAGCAGCGGAGCAUGUGGUUUAAUUCGAAGCAACGCGAAGAACCUUACCAGGUCUUGACAUCC
rnacentral:rRNA from 1 species